GACGAACGCUGGCGGCGUGCCUAAUACAUGCAAGUAGGACGCAGUUGCGAACGGGUGAGUAACGCGUAGGUAACUGCCUAUUAGAGGGGGAUAACUAUUGGAAACGAUAGCUAAUACCGCAUACUAGUAGAUGGACCUGCGUUGUAUUAGCUAGUAGGUAGGGUAAUGGCCUACCUAGGCGACGAUACAUAGCCGACCUGAGAGGGGGAUCGGCCACACUGGGACUGAGACACGGCCCAGAGUCCUACGGGAGGCAGAAGUAGGGAAUCUUCGGCAAUGGGGGGAACCCUGACCAGGCAACGCCGCGUGAGUGAGGAAGGUUUUCGGAUCGUAAAGCUUUGUUGUUAAGGACGCGGUACUUAGCCAGAAAGGGACGGCUAACUACGUGCCAGCCGCCGCGGUAAUAC
rnacentral:rRNA from 1 species